rnacentral:rRNA from 1 species
GACGAACGCUGGCGGCGUGCUUAACACAUGCAAGUCGAACGAUGAAGCUGAAGCUUUUGUUUUGGUGGAUUAGUGGCGAACGGGUGAGUAAUACGUGAGUAACCUGCCCUUGUCUUUGGGAUAAGCCUGGGAAACUGGGUCUAAUACCGGAUAUUCUGCUUCUGCCGCAUGGUGGGGGUUGGAAAGAUUUUUUUUGGAUGGGAGUGGCUCACGGCCUAUCAGCUUGUUGGUGGGGUGAUGGCCUACCAAGGCGUCGACGGGUAGCCGGCCUGAGAGGGUGACCGGCCACAUUGGGACUGAGAUACCGGCCCAGU